rnacentral:rRNA from 1 species
UACGUAGGGGGCGAGCGUUGUCCGGAAUCAUUGGGCGUAAAGCGCGUGUAGGCGGCCCGGUAAGUCCGCUGUGAAAGUCCAGGGCUCAACCCUGGGAUGCCGGUGGAUACUGUCGGGCUCGAGUCCGGAAGAGGCGAGUGGAAUUCCUGGUGUAGCGGUGAAAUGCGCAGAUAUCAGGAGGAACACCAAUAGCGAAGGCAGCUCGCUGGGACGGUACUGACGCUGAGGCACGAAAGCGUGGGGAGCAAACAGG